GCCUAUCUAAGUGAUUGAUGGCAAACAAGUGUUCUCGCAUUCGUAAUGCGUAGGUCGCAGGUUCGACUCCUGUUUCCGGCACCA
rnacentral:tRNA from 1 species